UAGAAACAGAGUCACUACACGGGAGUC
rnacentral:piRNA from 1 species